GCUUUCUCCACCCCACACAUAGAGAGAGUGGUUAUUUUCCUACUUCCAGAAGCGUCAACAAGGCAGUUAAUCACCAUAUCAAUGGUGAUAGCGUAACUUUGUUGGUGAGGGUAGCAUUUCUAGAGAUUUCUGAAAAUCAGUCAUAAUUUCCAAGUGCUGCGUUUCAUUACACUUUUCCUCACCCUGCUACAUCCAGGGCUUUGUUUCCAGGGUGGGCUGGAAUGCUUUAAAACAAGCACUCGUCUGUACUAUUAUUCCUUCCUUCCUCUUUGGAGCUGUGAAAGGCCACCAGGGCCUGUCUCCAGGACUCUCCCUAUAAAGCCUGAACUAUGCACCUAGUUCCGGAGCUGGGAUUUGCCCUCAAGAUUUAUCACCUGCUAAAGGAUGUUUUCUUUAUGCAGACAAAGGCCACGGGGAAAUUAAGGAUAAAUCAGAAAAAUUUCAUCAGUUUAGUCUAAAAUCAAGAGUAAUUCUGGUUGCUUCAGCUUUCCUCACCAUCAAGAAUGGCUGCACAAAAGGAAGUUCAUCUGGAUCUAAAUGCCAAAGGCUUGACUGUCAGCUGGAGCAGGCUGCCCUUCAGUGGUGCUCCUCCUCCUUACUGGAAAGUUGUCUCAGCAUACACAGCAAUGAGCACAGCUCUGUUCCUUGCUUCCCAUGCAAGCAGGCUCUAUCUUCAUGAGAACAAAUAUCAGGAGUUCUGUCCACCCUCUUUUCUUCAAUUCCAGCCUGCUUCCAAGUUGUUUCUUUAGGAAUCAUAAAGAACUGAGCAGACAAAAUGCCUUCUUUAUGUGCUGAGCUCCUUCAAAUCUCUGUUCCCUGAAAGCUUAGAAAGACGGUGAGCACCUGAAGCUUGUUCUACAACAUCUACAGGGUUCUUGGAGACUUCAGUGAAACACAGUUCUCAGUCUUACUGCCUGUCCAAGUAAGCAUGGAGGAAAUGCUUCCAAUAUUCCAGGGUUGGUGCCUGAGCUAAAGAGAUAACUGAAGCUGCCAGUCCUGCACGCAGAAAGACACAUGGCCAGGGUCCAGCUGGUUGGUUCAUCUGAAGGAGUCCGAGCUCACCUGAGGAUGGGAGGACACACAGGAAAGAGCACAGGUCUGGUGUGUGGUGGGAGAAAGAGAACGUGCUGGACUGUCCAGAGCUGUUCAUCAUAAAGUUUAGUUGUCUCUGUCUGACUGAUGGUAACUAAGGGACAGAGCCUAAUCUGAAAAGUGCAUUGGUGUGUGUCUUGAAAAAUACACUGCAAUGAAGGAGUGUAUUUAUCAGUAUAUUCUUCACUGUUCACCCUACAUUUGAUCCGAGUCCAGCGUAAACUCUGAGAUGAUCUAACUAAUAAAGAUCUGAUUAUAAUUAGUCUAGAAUUAGUGAAAUAGUUACAAAGCAGGGGAGCAGUUAACGGUCUGGUUUACUGAUUUAUCUUCCUGCAAAAUCAAUUCUGCGUUCUUCUUAUUAACAAAAUGUUCACUUGUAAUCAACAAUAACUAGUGUCAGCAAUAUAGUACUUGAAAGAAUAUUCUACUGGCAAAAAUGAGGGUAAACAUUAGAAAUUCUGCAUUUUGAUGUAAAUAAAAUGUUCCCUUAAUAAUUGAUCAGUGGAUGAUGAGAGAAAUGCACCUUACACAUUAAAUACUUUGACUGACAGAGCAGAUAUGUUCACUACUAUGGAUUUAUCCUAUAUCACUUAAUAUUUUCAGCCAGUUAACAUGGAACUUUCUGUGUGCAAAAACAGUUAAUGGUCCUUUAUGGAGCAUUUUAACACAGUAUUUAAAAGCGAAGGAAAAACAACAAUAGUAUCAUAAGAUGUAUUUUUACAUGCAUGUCUCAGUUCAGCUUUUUGUAAAAUUUCAAAUACAUAGUGCCAUUUGAAGUACUGUAAAAUAUUUUAUCGGGGACAUGCUUUAGCAAACAUUUUGUCACCCAGAGCUGCAGCUGUAAUUCUUAGAGAAUAUUAACACACAGGCUCUAUUCUCAAGCCUGGGAGAGUGUCAUCCUGACCUCUGUUUACUGCUAUUAAAAUAGAAGAUUUACUUUGAAGCAUUCAUUUAAAGAGG
ensembl:lncRNA